CGAAAUCGGUAGACGCUACGGACUUAAAAUCCGCCAACUUUAAAAAUCGUGA
rnacentral:tRNA from 1 species